UACAGAGGGUGCUAGCGUUGUUCGGAAUCAUUGGGCGUAAAGGGCGUGUAGGCGGUUUGUUAAGUCAUGUGUGAAAUCCCUCGGCUCAACCGGGGAACGACGCAUGAAACUGGCAAGCUAGAGUACCAAAGAGGGGGGUGGAAUUUCCGGUGUAGCGGUGAAAUGCGUAGAUAUCGGAAGGAACACCAGUGGCGAAGGCGGCUUCCUGGACCAAUACUGACGCUGAGGUGCGAAAGCGUGGGGAGCAAACAGG
rnacentral:rRNA from 1 species